rnacentral:rRNA from 1 species
AUUGAACGCUGGCGGCAGGCCUAACACAUGCAAGUCGAGCGGUAACAGGAAGUAGCUUGCUACUUCGCUGACGAGCGGCGGACGGGUGAGUAAUGCCUGGGAAUAUGCCUUGAUGUGGGGGAUAACUAUUGGAAACGAUAGCUAAUACCGCAUAAUGCCUACGGGCCAAAGAGGGGGAUCUUCGGACCUCUCGCGUCAAGAUUAGCCCAGGUGGGAUUAGCUAGUUGGUGGGGUAAAGGCUCACCAAGGCGACGAUCCCUAGCUGGUCUGAGAGGAUGAUCAGCCACACUGGAACUGAGACACGGUCCAGACUCCUACGGGAGGCAGCAGUGGGGAAUAUUGCACAAUGGGGGAAACCCUGAUGCAGCCAUGCCGCGUGUAUGAAGAAGGCCUUCGGGUUGUAAAGUACUUUCAGCAGUGAGGAAGGUGGUAGUGUUAAUAGCGCUAUCAUUUGACGUUAGC